rnacentral:rRNA from 1 species
UCGUUUAAUUCCAGUUGAUCCUGCUGGAGGAUGCUGCUAUUUGGUUCGGGCUUAGGCAUGCAAGUUAUUUCUUUUGAUUUAUCAUUAGGAAGGCGAACUGCUUAGUAACACGUAGUUAAUCUGCCCUUAGGUGAAGGAUAAGCACGGGAAACUGUGUCUAAUACUUCAUACGAGUUUAUUGCUGGAAUGCUUUUACUCUGAAACAUUAGGCCUAAGGAUGAGACUGCGGUUGAUUAGCUUGUUGGUGGGGUAACUGCCUACCAAGGCGAUGAUCAAUAGGGGCUCUUAGCGGAGUAGCCCCAAGAAGGAAUCUGAGACACUAUUCCUAGCUCUACGGAGUGCAGCAGCUGCGAAUUUUUUACAAUGCACGCAAGUGUGAUAAAGCGAGCCAAAGUGCUUAACAUUUUAUGUUAAGCUUUUCUUCAGUUUAAAACACUGGAGGAAUAAGGACUGGGAAAGAUCGGUGCCAGCCGCCGCGGUAAUACCGACAGUUCAAGUUGCAUCCACUUUUAUUGGGUCUAAAACAUCCGUAGCUUGUUAACUCAGUCUCUUGUGAAAUCUCACGUCUCAAGCGUGAGGCUUGCAGGAGAUACUAGUUAGCUAGAGACCGGUAGGCGUAAGAAGUACGGGCAAGGUAGUGGUUAAAUACGUUAAUCUUGCUUGGACUAACAAUUUAGCGAAGGCAUCUUACGAGGACGGAUCUGACAGUGAGGGAUGAAGGCCAGGGGCGCAAAACGGAUUAGAUACCCGUGUAGUCCUGGCAGUAAACACUGCUCACUAAACAUCGGGCCCUCUUAGGGAGGAUUCGGUGCUGAAGGGAAGCCGAAGAGUGAGCUACCUGGGAAGUAUAGUCGCAAGGUCGAAACUUAAAGGAAUUGGCGGGGAGACAUACAACGAGUGACGCGUGCGGUUCAAUUAGAUUUUACACCGUGAACCUCACCAGGAGCGACAGCAGGAUGAAGGUCAGUCUAAAGGGCUUACCU